rnacentral:rRNA from 1 species
CGGCCAGACUCCUACGGGAGGCAGCAGUGGGGAAUAUUGCGCAAUGGGGGAAACCCUGACGCAGCAACGCCGCGUGAGUGAAGACGUAUCUCGGUAUGUAAAGCUCUAUCAGCGGGGAAGAAGGAAGACGGUACCCGACUAAGAAGCCCCGGCUAACUACGUGCCAGCAGCCGCGGUAAUACGUAGGGGGCAAGCGUUAUCCGGAUUUACUGGGUGUAAAGGGGGCGCAGACGGCGAUGCAAGCCAGGAGUGAAAGCCCGGGGCCCAACCCCGGGACUGCUCUUGGAACUGCGUGGCUGGAGUGCAGGAGGGGCAGGCGGAAUUCCUGGUGUAGCGGUGAAAUGCGUAGAUAUCAGGAGGAACACCGGUGGCGAAGGCGGCCUGCUGGACUGCAACUGACGUUGAGGCCCGAAAGCGUGGGGAGCAAACAGGAUUAGAUACCCGAGUAG